AAAUCCACUUUUUUUUCUUGAAUCUACAAUGUUUAGAAUACGUGAUCUACGUAAAUAAGAGUAUUCUAAAAAUAUUUAGAAUACACAUUCCGUGCUAAACCUACCGAUCUAAAAUUUUUAGAAAUCAAAAUCUACACAUUAAUAUAAAUCUACAACUCGUAGAAACCGACUUCAACAUAUUUACUGUAAAUCUAAAACAUGUAGAAAUCAAAAUCUACAUAUUACUAUAAUUUUUAAAACCUGUAGAAAUCGACUUCUACAAAUUAGUUGUAUUCUACGGAUAAAAAAUCAGUUCCUAAAAAUAUGGAAAUAAAAUAUUUGGAAAUAUUCACUUUCAUAUUUUGAAAAAAAAAAUCGAUUUUUUAUAAAAAAAACAAAAAAAAACCAAAAAAAUUACAAAUUUAAGGGCAUUAUUACCAUUUUAAAAAUAGUUAGCCUAAUGAGACAUAAAGUAUAUGAGAUUAGUCUAAUGGAACAUAGUUAUCAUUUUUUUGCUCUAAAAAACAAUUUUCCCAAUAAAAUAAGAGGACACAUGAGGUUGGUCGGAAUCCCUUUGAAUGGCGUUUAAGGACUUUGGUGAAAAAAGAGUGGAACGGGUCCUAAUGACUUUGGUCUUCCUUUUUCCUGUUUCUUAAUCCCCGUUUGUGUAAAAGUCCAACAUUCCUAACGUGACGUUCCAAUUAUAUAUCUUUUUAUUUUGUCGGUGUCAUCCGUUAUUUAUUAUUUACAAGGAUUUGCACCCAAAAAAAUAGUACAUUGAUUUGGUUAUUAAAAAAUUAAUAUCAACCCUCCAUCUUUGAAAGUUAUUUGUGCUUAUCGUAUCUACUUAAACGGGACCGAUAUUUGAAAAUUAUAUACAGCUAACCAGAUUUGUAUCCCUCGUUUUAAUAAAGCAUUUUUAAGAAAUGAAUUCAACUAAACUUUAUCACGUUUUUAGCUUUAGUUAACAAACUGGUCUAUACCAACUAAUUUAAAAUAUAACAUUUAACUCUUAUAAUUGUUUCGUAUCAGAAGUUAACAUUUUAUAGUUUUAAGGAUCAAGCAAUUGGUACGGAUACACUAAUGUAUAGUUGACUCUGAAGAAUAUAAGAGCAUGAUCGACGCAAUAUACUUCCAUUGUAGUUUGAAGUGGUUUAUGGUGCAGAAGUGGACACCUAACUUUAGAGGUUAGAUCUCGGUUAUAAAUGUCUACAUAAAAAAAGAAGAAGGUGUAGUUUAGUAAUUGGUUGGAUUUUUAAGGAAUGUAAAAGCAAAAGAAAAUUUAUAAUCACACGUCGAAGACUUAGAAUACUACAGUAAGAAAAUUAUCGACAGUAAUUAUUAUAUUUUGAGUCAAACUAUAAUGACAUCCAACUGGAUAAAAGUAAUUUUAUGUUUGUCAACAGUGAAAGUAAUUUAUGGGUUUAGUUUAUAUAUAAACAUUAAACUUUAAACCCUAUAAUUUCAUAUGUAACCAAUAACACCCAAUCAUACUCCUUAUAUUUCAAUUAUUUGAUUCUUAAGGUUUUAACAAGUUGAUUAUAAAAAUAUGAAAUUUAUUUUAGUUUAUUUCUUGUACACUUUUUAUAUUAGUUUAUUUCUUGUACACAAAACAUCAUUAACUAAAACAAAUUCAACUAAUAAAGAGUACACUGCAUAAUAGUCAUAAAAAAACAAAUGUAACUUUAAUAUUUUGUAAAUAAAUUUGAAAACAUCAUUUUGUUAAAAAAAAAUAAAAAAUUUAAAAACAUCAUUUAAAAUAAAAUUUUAAAAUUUCCUAAAACAUCAAUUAUAUUAAAACGGAUGGAGCAUUAUACUCCAAAGUCUUGCAUUUUUGAAGAUUCAAAAAAAAAAAAGAACUCCCUGGUUAGACACUUAUAGGUGAAGAGAGAACAAA